GGACUUUCCCCUGAAUUGAGCAGACAGGACGGACUCCAGUUUUUCCUUCACUCAAAACAGCGCGCUGUCAAAAAUAAGGUCGCCAGAGCACAGACCCCGGGAGAAGAGGAGCCCCGGAGCAGUGUCAAGUCUUUACAGUGAUGUGACCAUGGAAAGUGAUGUCUGCAGGACCCUGUCUCUCCUGUAUCCCAGAGUGCGUGCAAUACAAC